GACUCCCUCACCUUCAACGCCAUAAGUCGAGCCAACCAAGGCAACAUAAGCCAUAAGCCAAGUAGCCUCGCAACAUGUACUACUUCUAGUUUAGCAUCAUUUCAGAUUGAGCACUGCCUCAUAUCGAGUGUCAGUCCUAGACGACAUCUAGUUACUUCAGCCCACACAUGGACUGAGUUUCAAGUCUCCAGCCAAAAGACUCUCUUGACUGAAGACUUGGGGGACUACUGUUUGUACCAUACUUAAGGCCUCUGUAUUUAGAUCUCGUAUAAAUACUCAGGGGACUCAAAUGUAAUUAUGUAAUAAAGGAAGGGGAAAAUAUGUAAUAAGUGAGGAGCCCUUAUUCUAUAAAAGGACUCCUCACUCUCCUCAUUUGGAAGAGGCUAAUUCUUAGGCCUGGCCCCUCACCCUCUUAAAGCCUCUUAUACUCUGAGAUUCAGAGCUCUCAUCCUCACAGAGAAGCUCUCUCUAUCUUCUUCAACAUCUCAGAGAAAUACAAUAUCAGUGUGGACGUAGCCCAAACAUUGGGGUGAACCACGAUACAUCUUGUAUUCUUUACUUUCUUGCAGAUUCACGGUCGGAUUUACGUUGUUCCAAGACCCCUCCGGUUUUGUGCAUCAACAUUUCCGUAUUUAGAUCUCGUAUAAAUACUCGGUGGACUCAAAUGUAAUUAUGUAAUAAAGGAAUGGGCAAAUAUGUAAUAAGUGAGGAGCCCUUAUUCUAUAAAAAGACCCCUCACUCUCCUCAUUAAGGGAGGCCAAUUCUUAGACCAUAGGAAAUGACUCAUCCUCACAAUCAGAUGAAGCCUCACUCCCAUAGUCAGAGCCUCACUCUCCUAUUCAGAGGCUCUCUCAUCCUCUCUCGCCCUCACAAAGAAAUACAAUAUCAGUGUGGACGUAGCCCAAACAUUGGGGUGAACCACGAUACAUCUUGUGUUCUUUACUUUCUUGCAGAUUCACGGUGGGAUUUACGUUGUUCCAAGACCCCUCCGGUUUUGUGCAUCAACACAACUAUUUAUCUUAACAAACUCCGACCUUGAACGUCUAACAAAUAUGUUGACUUAUUCAAUGUUUGUGAUUGAUUAAAUAUUCUUCGGGUUCACAACCCUCAUCGUCAAUUAGUUUUUGGAUGAAGCCUCAACUUUUUUCACAAUAUCAUUGUAGGUUUGUCCACAUGUGAUGAAGCCUUCGCCAAGCUUAAAUUGUCCACAAGAUUCACGUAAAAAAAUGUUAUCAUGAAAAAAAUGGGAUCCAAUUUUAUAGUAGUAUCAAAUGAGAAUAAAAUGAUUAGCCAAUUGUAAAAUUUAACUCACUCCGUCACUUUUUAACGUAGAUAAUAAAUAUUGAAGACCUUAAAAAAAUGAGAAUCAAAUCAGAUACCUUUUACAUUAACAAAUUAACAAACAACAAACUUUAUAUGGGCUUAGAUUACUCAACCUAGUUUUAAUUAGUUUUAAAAAUGAACUCUUAACUUACUUUAAUUGUGAACUAAAAUAAACUAAGCGAACCGAUUAGAUAAAACAAAAGUAUCUGGUUGGCCCCUAAGUAAAGAAAUAUUUGACCUAUCAUUCGU
rnacentral:lncRNA from 1 species